rnacentral:rRNA from 1 species
UACGAAGGGGGCUAGCGUUGCUCGGAAUCACUGGGCGUAAAGGGUGCGUAGGCGGGUCUUUAAGUCAGGGGUGAAAUCCUGGAGCUCAACUCCAGAACUGCCUUUGAUACUGAAGUAUCUUGAGUUCGGGAGAGGUGAGUGGAACUGCGAGUGUAGAGGUGAAAUUCGUAGAUAUUCGCAAGAACACCAGUGGCGAAGGCGGCUCACUGGCCCGAUACUGACGCUGAGGCACGAAAGCGUGGGGAGCAAACAGG